GGUGACUGGGUGUGAAGCGCAAACUUAAGGCAGAGCUUGGAGCGGGAUAAUUGGCACAGACGGUAAAUGUCGCAGCAACGGACGGUCACACAUUGGACAGACACAUCCAGAAGAACGCAUUACCUUCAAAGGCUGCCUACAUAUAAAAGGACUGCUGAUUUGCUGAAGUGCUUUAUGAACUGUUGGAGAUCGCCAUCAUAAGGCCCCUGAAGGCAAUGUGUGAGGCUCAGAGAACAUCCCAAGCAAUCAGGACCCCAGUCAGACAACUCAUUUGUGGCUCUGGGCUGUCAUCAUCAGUCGAUUCCCUUGAAUAGAGAUCAAACCAUUCAACAACGUCGAAAGUUGCCUACUUCAAGAGGAAAUAUGCGGAAGAGGAGGAUUUACAUGGCGACCUACAUGGAUAUUUUCAAAAAGUACGAACUGCUUUGUUUGUGUUGACAUGUUCAGACAUCAAUCUGUUGUCCUAUGACAUGACACUUUAGAUGUGUCUGUCUCAUAAUCACAACCUCUUUUUCUUCAGCACCUGAUACGUCAGGAGGACCGCAGCUGCAUCCUCAAGCUCUCCUUGGAGAAGCUGAGAUUCCUGGAGGACCCUGAAGCCUACCUGCGACGCUCUGUGCUCAUCAACAACCUGCUGAGGAAGAUCCACCAUGAGGAG
ensembl:lncRNA